UUGCCGGCGAGCGGCGGACGGGUGAGUAAUGCAUAGGAAUCUGCCCAAUAGUGGGGGAUAACGUGGGGAAACCCACGCUAAUACCGCAUACGUCCUACGGGAGAAAGGGGGCUUUUUAGCUCUCGCUAUUGGAUGAGCCUAUGUUGGAUUAGCUAGUUGGUGAGGUAAUGGCUCACCAAGGCGACGAUCCAUAGCUGGUCUGAGAGGAUGAUCAGCCACACUGGGACUGAGACACGGCCCAG
rnacentral:rRNA from 1 species